UACGUAGGGGGCAAGCGUUAUCCGGAUUUACUGGGUGUAAAGGGAGUGUAGACGGCCAGACAAGUCUGAAGUGAAAAUCCAGCGCUUAACGUUGGAAGUGCUUUGGAAACUGCCGGGCUAGAGUGCAGGAGGGGCAGGCGGAAUUCCUAGUGUAGCGGUGAAAUGCGUAGAUAUUAGGAGGAACACCAGUGGCGAAGGCGGCCUGCUGGACUGCAACUGACGUUGAGGCUCGAAGGCGUGGGGAGCAAACAGG
rnacentral:rRNA from 1 species